rnacentral:rRNA from 1 species
AGCGAACGCUGGCGGCAGGCCUAACACAUGCAAGUCGAACGAUCCUUCGGGAUAGUGGCGGACGGGUGAGUAACACGUGGGAACGUGCCCUUUGGUUCGGAACAACUCAGGGAAACUUGAGCUAAUACCGAAUGUGCCCUUCGGGGGAAAGAUUUAUCGCCAUUGGAGCGGCCCGCGUCUGAUUAGCUAGUUGGUGAGGUAAUGGCUCACCAAGGCGACGAUCAGUAGCUGGUCUGAGAGGAUGAUCAGCCACACUGGGACUGAGACACGGCCCAGCCUCCUACGGGAGGCAGCAGUGGGGAAUCUUGCGCAAUGGGCGAAAGCCUGACGCAGCCAUGCCGCGUGCAGGAAGAAGGCCUUCUGGGUUGUAAACUGCUUUUGUCAGGGGAUAAAAAGCUCGUGCGCGAGUAAUUGCAGGUACCUGAUGAAUAAGCCACGGCUAACUACGUGCCAG